rnacentral:lncRNA from 1 species
UCCAUGAAAGACAGGGUUCUUUGCAAUUGCAACAGCAGAUAGGUUGUCACACAUUAUCUCUGUUGCUUCCUUUUGCUCAUGGUUAAGAUCAGCUAAGAUUUUUCUAAGCCAUAUGGCUUGAUAAACUGCUGCAGCAGCAGCUAUAUAUUCAGCCUCUGUAGUAGAUUGUGCUACUACUGCCUGUUUCUUUGAACUCCAGCAAAUCAUACCAGAGCCUAGGUUGAAUGCAUAACCUGUUGUGCUCUUCAUAUCAUCCAAAGAACCUGCCCAAUCACUAUCACAAUAGCCAACUAACUUUAAGUUCUCAGCCUUGGUAAAUUGCAUUCCAUAGGACAAAGUUCCCUUGAUGUAUCUUAGAACUCUUUUUGCAGCUCUAAAGUGACUUUCAUUUGAGCAAUGCAUGAACCUUGAGAGUAGACUCACAGCAUACAUUAUAUCAGGUCUGGUAGCAGUCAAAUACAACAAACAUCCAACUAGACUUUGAUAGGUUGUUUCACAGACCUUUUCAUGCUUAUCUUGGCUCGAGAGUUUUUCUCCAACAGCAAUUGGUGUGCUGGUUGCUUUGCAAUUAUCCAUUGAGAAUUUGUUGAGAACCUUCAUAGCAAAGGUCUUUUGACUAAGCCAAAUUCCAUUUUCAGCUUGAGUUACUUCCAUGCCUAAGAAGUAAGACAUCAAUCCCAAGUCAGACAUCUCAAAGUGCUGUUGCAUUUUAGCUUUAAAGCUGCUUAGCAUCUCUCGAUCUCCUCCUGUCACCAGUAAGUCAUCGACAUAUAUUGACACAAUGAACUAAAUUUCAGUACUAGUCAAUUUAACAUAGAGAGUUGGCUUACUUAGACUUCUCUCGAAUCCCAAACUGGUCAGAUAUCCAUCAAUUCUGCUAUACCAGGCCCUUGGAGCCUGUUUCAAGCCAUACAAGGCUUUGUUGAGUUUGUACACCAUUUCUUCCUUUCCAGACACCUUGAAACCUUGAGGUUGCUCCACAUAAAUCUCCUCUUCAAAGAAUCCAUUCAGAAAUGCUGAUUUUACAUCAAGUUGGUGUAUCAGCCACUGUUUUUGUGCUGCUAAGGCAACUAGCAGUCUGAUGGUGUCUAGCCUGGCCACUGGUGCAAAGGUUUCCAGGUAGUCUGAUCCAUACCUUUGACUGAAGCCUUUCACAACCAAUCUAGCCUUUAAUUUGUCUAGGCUACCAUCAGCAUUGUUCUUAACUCGAUAAACCCAUUUGACACCAAUAAUCUUCCUAUUUGUUGGUCUAUCAACCAGACUCCAGGUCUGAUUCUUUUCAAUCAUCCUGAUUUCUUCAAUCAUUGCUUGCUUCCAGUCCUCCUGGCUUUCUGCUUCUUCAAAGCAACUUGGUUCAAUAGUAGCCACUUGUGCUCUUUCAUAAACAUCAGCCAGUGAUCGAGUGCCUCUGAUUGGAACAUCAUCUACAUCCAUUUCAGGUGUGUUUUCAUCAUUUUCAACUUGGUCCAAUGCCAGAUCUUCAGCCACUGCCUCUAGUUCAGCCUUCUCCCAAUUCCAGUGUCCUUUUUCAUUGAAAACAACAUCCCUGCUAACCAAUAUCUUGUUUGUAGUAGGUUCUAGAAUUCUGUAGCCCUUUUUAACCAAGCUAUAGCCGAUCAGGAUCCCUGCUUGAGCUCUUUUAUCUAGCUUGCUUCUCCUCUCAGCUGGAACUUGAGUGUAGCACAGACAACCAAAGGUUCUGAGAUGAGCCAGUGAUGGCUUAAACCCAAACCAGGCUUCAUAUGGAGUCUUCUCAGCCAGAGCCUUGGUUGGGAGCUUGUUUUGGAGAUAAACUGUUGUGUUAACAGCUUCAGCCCACAGAGUUUUGGGCAAAUUCUUCUCAAACAGAAGACAUCUUGCCAUGUUCAUCAAGCUCCUAUUUUUCCUUUCACUGACCCCAUUCUAUUGGGGUGUAUACACAUUAGUCAACUGGUGUUUGAUACCUGCUUCUUCAUAGUAGGCUUGGAACUGAGCUGAGGUGUACUCAGUUCCAUUAUCUGACCUCAUUGCUCUAAGUUUGCAACCAAACUCAGUUUCAACAGCAGCUUUAUACUUCAGGAACACAGAUGGAACUUCUGAUUUCUGUUUUAGAAAAUAAAUCCAGCAGUAUCUUGUAAAGUCAUCAAUAAAUAGAAUAAAGUACCUGCUUCCUUUGAGAGACUUAGUCUUCAUUGGUCCACACACAUCUGUAUGCACAAGCUGGAGCUUCUCUGAUGCUCUCCAUGUUGUGCUUGUUGAAAAUGGCAAUCUUGCCAAUUUUCCUUGCUGACAUAUCUCACAAAGCUCAUCAUUCUUCACUGAAUCGAUGAAAUUUUCCGCCAGACCUUCAUUGACCAUGUGGGCUAUGGAUUUGUAGUUUGUAUGUCCAAGCCUCUGAUGCCAGAGUCUGGAGUCACCAGUGGAGGCUAUGCAGGCUGAAUGUAAGUCAUUUGGCCAAUCUACUUCAAAACAUUUAUCAGUCAUGGUGACUGUUAUGAGGUUUGAUCCACUUGGAUAAAAAAUUUGACAUUCUUUCUCCUUGAACACAACUGAGUAACCUUUCUCAAGUAGUUGAGUUAUACUGAGAAGGUUCCUAUCGAUUUCAGGUACCAAAAGUACAUUUGAAAUGAUUUUGCCACCUGUAGAGGUAUGAAUCAGCACAUCUCCUCUUCCUUCAGCAUUAAUCAACUGACCAUUUCCAAUUUUUACCUUGGUUUUGCAGGUUCUGUCCAGGGUUUUGAAGAUGGUUGCAUCUGGUGACAUGUGGUUUGUGCACCCACUGUCUAGAAGCCAGCCCUUUGAACCCUUCUUCUGAUUUGCUGCACAUGACACAGUAAAAACAUGUUCUUCUUGAUCAUUGCUUUCUUCAGCUACUCGAGCUUCUACCUUUUGUUGCUGAAAUUGAUUCUGUCUUGGUUUGCUUCUAUUCUUGCAACCUUUUUCAACAUGGCCUUUUUUCUUGCAGUGUUGGCAUACUGCAUCUGGUCUAAACCAGCAUCUAUCUUCUGGAUGACCAGCUCUUUUACAAUAUCUGCAGAGUUGGUCACUGCUCCUAGCAGCAUCAGGCUUAGGCCUGUUUUUCCAGAACUUUUUGCCUUUGUGAGUUUUGAUGCUCGAGGCUUCUUUGGCUUGAAAAGCCCCUUCCUGGUGCUCCUCUUGUCUGCUGGCUCUUCUUUGCUCUUGUGCAUACAAGGCAUUGAUUAGCUCAGUUAAGGAGAUAGUUGUCAAGUCCCUUGAGUCUUCGAGGGAUGAAAUUUUAGCUUCAUACCUCUCUGGUAGAGUGGACAUGACUUUCUCAACUAUUCUAGCUUCACUGAAUUGCUCUCCUAGGAGCCUUAUGCUGUUUACAAUAGCCAUAAUCCGAUCUGAGUACUGCUUAACUAUUUCUUCCUCUUUCAUUUUGAGAUUUUCGAAAUCUCUUCUCAAGUUGAGCAGCUGUUGUUGCCUUGUUCUCUUAGUCCCCUGAAAUUCUUCUUUCAGCUUGUCCCAAGCCUCCUUUGGUGUUUCACAGGCCAUAAUCCUCAUAAAGAUCACAUCUGUCACACAAUUUUGUAUGCAUGACAUGGCCUUGUGCCUUUUUGUUCUUUCAUCAGCGUGUUGCCUUAUUUGAGCAACUGUUGGAUUAACUCGAAGAGGUGCUGGCUCAGCAUCUGAGUUAACAACUUCCCAUAGGUCGAAUGCCUGCAGGUAAGUCCUCAUCUUAACUGCCCAAAUGUUGAAGCCCUCUCCAUUGAAGACAGGUGGUGAAGCUGGUGAAAAACCUGAUGAUGCCAUGGUUCUGAUACUGAACUACAACAGGUCCUCUAAGAAUAUGGCUCUAGAUACCAAUUGUUGGAUCUAAGUGGUACAGCAGCAAGCUUCAACAGAAUGCUUGUCAAGCAAGUCUCGUGACUUGCAGCAGAAACAAAGCAGAAAACUCAAAUAGAUUUUGAAGCAAAACUAAAAAUGGAGAGCAUAUGGAUGAAAACUUGUUGAAUUCAUUCAAAAAACUGAAUAUGGCUUAAAGCCAAUACAUAAACAAGCUUACAACUUGACAAAACAGUAGGUUAACCUAAACUUCACCUACUACCACUAACAAACUUAGUAACUUGAGCUAAUUAACUUGUACAAAUCAACAAAGCUGAUUAAUCAGCUCAAUCACCAUCAGUUUUACAUCAAAUAUAAACCUAACAUAGUUGAAAUACAACUAAGUUACAUUGCAUUAACUUAAAAAUACAAAAUAAGUGAAAACACAGCUUGCUAGCUUGAUGAGCUUGCAGCUUCUGCAUGUAGUGCCCUCGACAGUCUUGGUUGCUGCAUGCUGACCAUUGCUUCAACAGAUCGUUUAUUGGGCUUGCCGAGGUUCUGUCAUUUUUUUGUGGUCUUUUUUAUUCCUCCUUUUCUUUCGUAAGGGUGCAUGGGGUUUGUACUUAUCGUGCAUGGUUUUUGAAUCUUCUUCAUGAUUGCCAUUAAUGGUUCGGAUUCUUUUUGCAUGGAUAACAUUAAUGGUAGAGUCUUCUUUUGACUUGUUUCAAGAUAUUCUCAUUAUAGGGUUAAUCUUGCUAUAACAGGAAUUUUGUUUACAAUAUUCGUUUUUUAUAUUGUUACUCGGUUGUCUUAGUUUUCUUCAGAUUAUGUGUAAGUUGUUGUUAAUCUCUUGGGUAUCUCUUGACUGUAGUUUCCUGCUUCGGGUUUUGAUUUCUUGCAUGUUUCUCUCUGUCUUGAAGCAUGAGGGUGGGUGUUUAUCGAAAGGUGUCUCUGUAGGGUUUUGAGGUUCUCUUUUCUGUCUUAUGUUGGAUUGGUACAGCACUUCGCUUUCUUUUGUUUGGUGUCUAUAUUUUGCAAACUCUGUUGGCUGGUUUGAAUUCUGUUCGGUGGAGUGCUUCGCUCUCCUUUUCUCUUGUCCUGGUUCUUGAUUCGGUUGUGGCUUGGUCUGGGGUUUCUUCAUGCCAUGAAGUUUAUUUGUUGGAAUUGUCGGGGUUUGGGGAAUACCGCGACUGUCAGGGAGCUAAAGCAAUUGCUGGCUACUUAUAAACCUGAUAUUGUUUUCCUAAGCGAAACAAAGAUGAGUGCAAAUGAGUUCAGUUGGGUUCAAAAUAGAUGCAGGAUGCAAAGUGGUUUAGCCGUGAACUCGGAAGGACGUAACGGCAGUUUUGCAUUAAUAUGGGAGGAAGGAAUAGAUGUUACCAUUCGAAGUUUCUCUAAGCAUCACAUUGAUUCCCUGGUUCGGUUGAAAAAUCAUAAUAACAUUCGUGUAACUGGAUUUUACGGGCAUGCGAAUCCAAAUUUAAGAAGCAAUUCUUGGGAAAUGUUGGAAAAGGUAGGUGGUUUGGUGAGGGAGGAUUGGGUGGUUGGGGGGGACUUUAAUGCUAUCUUGAAUGAAGCUGAAAAAGAUGGAGGGCGAAGAAAGGUGAGGGCACAUAUGGAUGAAUUUAAAGAUGUCCUAGACAAUUUAGCUCUUGUGGAUAUUAAACCUGUUAGAGGGUGGUUUACUUGGGUCAACAACAGAAGCGGGGGGAACAUGAUAAAAGAAAGGUUAGAUAGGUUUGUUACCUCGGUAUCUAUGAUUGAGAAAUAUCCCUUUAUGACCUCUAAGGUGGUGCGACAAACACAGUCUGAUCAUGAUAAGAUCAUAUGGGACAUGUGGGGCAGUAAGCCUAAGGAGUACCCUAGAGACCAAAGAUUAUGCUUCAGAUUUGAAGAAUGUUGGGCUACGGAUAGUAAGGCAAAAAGUGUUAUUAGCAGUGAGUGGAACCGGGAACCUACAAAUUAUGUUAACAAGUUAGAGAAGAUUCGGGGAGUCCUGGGCCCGUGGCAGAGGGAUAGAUAUGGGAAAAUGAAGAAUGAUAUGUGGAAGUUGGAAAAUAAAAUUGACCGGGCCAUCGAUUCUGAAACAAGGGACGAUAGUGCGAUCAUUUUAAGGGAGAUGAGGAGCAGACUUAGCCAACUCUAUGCCAGGAAAGAAAAAUACUGGGCUCAAAGGUCAAGGUCUCAAUGGUUAAGAGAUGGGGAUAGGAAUACGAGAUAUUUUCAUGCUAGAGCUACGGGUCGAUUACAGAAAAAUACCAUUGAGAAGCUUAAGAAUGAGGAUGGGACGUGGGUAACUGAUAGUAUAGAUAUCAGCAAUGUGGCUAAAAAUUACUUUUGGAGGCUCUUUCGGUCAAAUGGUCAGAACGUUGAAAACCGUGAUAUGGAGUACAUUCAGGAAUGUGUUACUACAGAGAUAAAUGAGUGGCUUAUGAUGGACUACACGGAAAAUGAAAUUCUCCAAGCUAUUAAACAAAUGAACCCUCACAAAGCUCUAGGGGUUGAUGGUCUAUCGGGAAGUUUUUUCAAAAAUCAUUGGGAGAUUGUUGGAAAUGAAACUGUUCAAUUCUGUCUGGACAUUCUUAAGAGAAAAAAUGACAUCGCUGAUAUUAAUGAGACAAUGAUUAUAUUAAUUCCAAAAAUUCGUGAUCCAUGUGAAAUUACUAUCUAUCGUCUCAUUAGUUUAUGUAGAUUUAUUUACAAGAUUGUUUCAAAGGUCUUGGCUAAUCGGCUUAAAGUUGCCCUUCCGGGAUGUAUCAAUCAGAAUCAAAGCGCUUUCGUACCAGGAAGGAUGAUACAUGAUAAUAUCUUAAUCGCACAUGAACUCUUACAUUACCUUCAGAGCUCCAAAAAUGGUCCAAAUAAAGGGAUAGCAAUCAAGAUUGAUAUGAGUGAAGCAUAUGACCGAGUGGAGUGGGAUUUUAUCGAGAAGGUAAUGAAGAAAAUGGGGUUUGCUGAGCAGUGGAUAGACAAAAUUAUGUGUUGCGUUCGGUCGGUAAGAUAUUUUGUUAAGUGUAAUAAUUUGUUAUCGGACAUUAUUAUUCCCGAGAGGGGUCUCCGUAAGGGGAUCCUUUAUCCCCUUAUCUGUUUUUUUUCUAUAUGGAAGCCUUGUCAAUGAUGAUGAUUCAGGCUCAGGAUAAAAAAUCAUUACAAGGAAUUAGGGCUAGUAUUAAAGGACCUAGAGUUAACCACUUAUUUUUUGCUGACGAUGCUCUACUGUUUGUUAAAAAUAAGAAAAAUGAUAUUACCUGUCUUAGCCAUAUACUGAAGGUUUUUGCUAAUGUUUCAGGACAAGAAAUUAAUUAUGAAAAAUAUAUGGUUCUUUUUAGUCCUAAUACUCCCAGGGAACAGAGACACAAUUUCUGUGAAAUUCUUGGCAUGACGGUGGUUGAGAAGCUGGAUAACUAUCUCGGCCUUCCACUUCCUAUAGGAAAAAAGAAAAGAGUGGCUUUCCUGGAGAUAAUUAACAAGCUGUCAUGCAGAUUAAACAGCUGGACCAAGAGGCUCCUUUUAUUUGGCGGUAAGGAAGUCUUCAUAAAAGCAGUUCUUCAGUCCAUACCAACAAUGUUUUGUCGAUCUUUAAGGCUCCUAGAGGUGUGCUGGAUGACAUACAAUCAAAGCUAAGCAGAGCAUGGUGGACGGGCAAAGAUAAAGGCAGAUUUUGGACGAUGCUUCCGUGGAAAACAUUGUGUCACCCGAAAGGAAUGGGUGGAAUUGGCAUAAGGGACAUCACUCUGUUUAACUUGGCUCUACUAGGGAGGCAAGUCUGGAGGCUUAUUAAUAACAAAGACACACUUUGCUAUAAAGUGUUGUCGUCUAAGUAUUUCUCCGAUGGCAAUAUAUUCAACUCCAAGAAGGUUGAUAAAGCGUCUUUUACGUGGACUAGCAUUGCAGCUGCAGCAAAUACCCUCAGAAAUGGAUUCGGGUGGCAGGUAGGAAAUGGAAAUAUGAUAAACAUAAGGGUAGAUAACUGGGGGAUAGAAGGAUUAAACGAUGGAGCUCUUAAUAUGGAUUUGCUUAACCUGAAUGAUAGAAGAGUGUCAGACCUAUGGAAUAAGGAUCAGAGAAGCUGGAAUAGGGAUAAAAUCUUUAAGUUGUAGGGGCAGGAUUGGGGGGAUAAAAUUUGCAACCUCCUUAUUGGGAGAAUAGACCAUGACGAUAGAAUAAUAUGGUUCCAUAAUCCGCAUGGAUGCUAUACCUCAAAGUCUGCUUACUCUUGGCUGCUGUUAGAAAAGAUGGGAUAUGGCCCACAUAGGUUUUUUUGGAAAGCACUAUGGAAGCUUGAUACUUUACCGAAGAUACGAGUAUUUACUUGGCGAGUGGGACACAAAAUUCUCCCGACUAACAAUAAAAUAGCUUCCAUCAGGCAGGGCUUUGACAAGGGAUGUCCGAGAUGUGGAGCCAAGACAGAAAUGGUGUUACAUGCUUUAAAAGACUGCCCAACAUCGAGUGCAGUUCUCUCGAUAGGGGGAUGGUCCAGGAGCUUUAUCACAAAGAAAUAUGACCAUUGCAUUGAUUGGUUGGAAGACAUGAUGCGUGUCCUUGAAAAGAGGGCUAUGGCUGACUUAAUGACAACAUUAUGGAACUACAGGAAUAAUAGAAAUAGUUACAUUUUUAGGGGAAAAGAAGAGGAGGCUCAAGUAAUAUGGGAAAGAGCAAGCAAUCUGAAUAAGAAAUUUCAAAUUUGUAACAUGGUGAACGCUCCUUUAAUUUCACACACUGGCCUGGAGAAACAGUGGGUUAAACCUCCAAAGGGCUUCAUUAAAAUAAAUUUUGAUGCUACAGUGGGCGAAAACAGAAUCGGGUAUGGAACGAUCAUAAGAGAUGAAGAGAGCUUUGUUUUAGAAGGUGGUGGGGGGUUUAAAGAGGGAAGGUUGUCGGUGGAAGAGGCUGAAUGUGUGGCCUUCGAAGAAAGUAUUAAAAUGGCGCGUAAAUUAAAAAUAAAUGGCCAUGUUCUUUUUGAGACGGACCAUGUUGGAAUGGUCAAUAGGCUAAGUAAUAUAGCCAAUGACGUCAUAAAUAUAGGCACCCGUAUUAAGGAUUGUAUAGUAGAUUUUAAUUUCUUUCUUUCAGCCGAGUUAAUUGGUCUUGCAAUAAUGUUGCCCAUUUACUUUGUAAAAAAAUGUAUAGUGAAGGUAACAGCUAUUUUUUUGAUAUGGAUUAUCCGUCGGAUAUCCGUGAAGCUGUAAUUGGUGAUGUUAUGUAAUAAUAUGAGUUGAACCUUGUGGUCUUUUUUUGUUCAAAAAAAAAGAAUGUCGACUGGUAGCACAUUGACCAAGUUUUUUUAGCUCUUUAGGGGGAAGUGAUAUUGAGCAGCCAGGGGUUAUCCAGGGCACUGCCUAUGCCCAUCGCAUGCCUAGACGUCGGUGCCCCUCUACCGCAGGUUAGGUUCUCGGCGGUGCUCCAACGAUCCAUCCCAGCGAUGAUCCGGCGAGCCAUCCCAAGAUAUACAAAACGGCGCAACGAGUCCCUCCCCAAUCCCAAAAGGUAGAAUUCGGGUACUGUUAUAUGUCCGAUACCAAAUAAUGAAUGAAUCGUACCAAAGAUAGAAUUCAGAUAUCGUUGCUUGUCCGGUACCCAAGAAUGGAUGAAUCGUCCCUGUCCCUCCCCUAUUGUAAUAAGAGCCUCUGACACCUUUGGCCCCUGGUCGUGCGGUAGCCUCGUACACUAUCGGCAGCGUGUGCCAUCACGUGUUGCGGGGCCAUCGGGCAUCGCCGGCCCCUUUGAUGUGUCGGAGAAUCAGGCAGCAUCGCCACCUUGGUGCAUUAGAUGUGCGGGAGGGUCGAGCACCAAAACUAAUUUUGGGCCCCCGUUGGUGCAGAAGCGUCAGUACCAUAAAGUGUCCCUGUUUCAGACACAUGAAUGUCGCCUGGUAGCACAUUAACCAAGUUUUUUUAGCUCUUUAGGGGGGAGGUGAUAUUGAAUCGAGCAGGGGUUGUCCAGGGCACUACCCACGCCCAUCUCAUGCCCAGCCGUCGGUGCCCCCCAUCGCUGGUUAGGUUCCGACGGUGCUCCGACGAGCUUUCUUGGGGGUGCUCCAGUGAGCUUUCCCGGUGAUGCUCCGGCGAGCCAUCCUAGAAUAUAAAAAACGAUGCUACGAUUCAUCCCGGUCCCUCCCCCAGGUCCUUCCCCUUUUGGAACAAGAGCCUCCGGCACCUUGGGCCCUUGGUCGUACCGGAGCAUCAGGCAACAUUGGUAACCUAGGACGUCGAUAGUGCCAGAGCAUCAGCACAUUGCUGCUUGGAUGUGCUGGAGCCUUGAACGCCAUCGGCAACCUAGGAUGUCGGUGGUGUGAGAGCCUCGAGCAGCAUCGGCGCCUUGGUGCUCAGAUGUGCAGGAGCCUUGAGCAGCAUAGACACCUUGGUGCCUCGGAUGUGCGGAAGCCUCGGACACCAUCGGAAAACUAGGCCAUUGGUUGUGCCGGAGCCUCGAGCACCAUCGGCAACCUAGGCCCUUGGUCGUGGGGGAGCCUCGGGCACCAUCGACAGCCUAGACCCCUGGUCGUGCGAGAGCCUCAGGCAUCAUCAGCAACCUAGGCGCUUGGUCGUGCGAGAGCCUCGGGACCAUCGGCAACAUAGGCCCUUGGUCUUGCGAAAGCCUCGGAGCCAUCGGUAACCUAGGCCCUUGGUCAUGCGGGAGCCUCGGGCACCAUCGGGACCUAGACCCUUGGUCUUGCGGGAACCUCGAGUACCAUCGGUAACCUAGGCCCUUGGUCGUGCGGGAGCCUCGGGUACCAUCGGCAACCUAGGCCCUUGGUCGUGCGGGAGCCACGAGCAACAUCGGGGCCUAGGCCUUUGGUCAUGUGGGAGACUCGGGCACCAUCGGCACCUUAGUGCUUGGAUCUGCGGGAGCCUCGGGCACCAUCGGUAACCUAGGCCCCUGGUCUUGCGGGAGCCUCGGGCAGCAUUGGCAACCUAGGCCCCUGGUCGUGCGAGAGCCUCGGGACCAUCGUCAACCUAGCCCCCUGGUCGUGCAGGAGCCUCGGCACCAUCGGCACCUUGGUGCUUAGAUGUGCGGGAGCCUCGGGCACUAUUGGCUACCUAGGCCCCUGGUCGUGCGGGAGCCUCGGGCACCAUUGGUAACCUAGUCCCCUGGUCGUGCGGGAGCCUCAGGCACCAUCGGCAAUCGAGGCGCUUGGUCGUGCGAGAGCCUCGGGACCAUCGGCACCUAGGCCCUUGGUCGUGGGGGAGCGUCGGGCCCCAUCGGCACCUUGGUACUUGGAUGUACGGGAGCCUCAGACACCAUCGGCAACCUAGGCCAUUGGUCGUGCGGGAGCCUCGGGAAUCAUCGGGGCCUAGGCCCUUGGUCGUGCGGGAGCCUCGAGCACCAUCGGCAACCUAGGCCAUUGGUCAUGCGGGAGCCUCGGGCACCAUCGGCAACCUAGGCCCUUCGUCGUGCGGGAGCCUCGAGCAUCAUCAGCGCCUAGGCCCUUGGUCGUGCUGGAGCCUCGGGCACCAUCGACACCUUAGUACUUGGAUUUGCGGGAGCCUCGGACAUUAUCGGCAAUCUAGGCCCCUGGCCUUGCGGGAGACUCGGGCACCAUUGGCAACCUAGGCCCCUGGUCGUACGAGAGCAUCGGGACCAUCGGUAACCUAGGCCCCUAGUCGUGCGGGAGCCUCGGGCACCACCGGCACCUUGGUGCUUGGAUGUGCGGGAGCCUCGGGCAGCAUCGGUAACCUAGGCCCCUAGUCGUGCAGGAGCCUCGGGCACCAUCGGUAACCUAGCCCCCUAGUCGUGCAGGAGCCUCGGGCACCAUCGGCAACCUAGGCGCUUGGUCGUGCGAGAGCCUCGGGACCAUCGGCACCUAGGCCCUUGGUUGUACGGGAGCCUCGGGCACCAUCGGCACCUAGGCCCUUGGUCGUGCGGGAGCCUUGGGCAUCAUCGGUACCUUGGUGCUUGGAUGUGCGGGAGCCUCAGACACCAUCGGCAACCUAGGCCCAUGGUCGUGCGAGAGCCUCGGGUUCCAUCGGUAACCUAGGCCCUUGGUCGUGUGGGAGCCUCGGGCACCAUCGGGACCUAGGCCCUUGGUGGUACGGGAGCCUCGAGCACCAUUGGCAACCUAGGCCCUUGGUCGUGCGGGAGCCUCGGGCACCAUCGACAACCUUGGCCCUUGGUCAUGCGGGAACCUCGAGCACCAUCAGCGCCUAGGCCCUUGGUCAUGCGGGAGCCUCGGGUACCAUCGGCACCUUAGUACUUGGAUCUGCGGGAGCCUCGGGCACCACCGACAACCUAGGCCCCUGGCCUUGCGGGAGACUCGGGCACCAUUGGCAACCUAGGCCCCUGGUCGUAUAAAAGCCUCGAGACCAUCGGCAACCUAGGCCCCUGGUCGUGCGAGAGCCUCGGGCACCAUCGGCACCUUUGUGCUUGAAUGUGCGGGAGCCUUGGGCAGCAUCGGUAACCUAGGCCCCUGGACGUGCGGGAGCCUUGGGCACCAUCGGUAACCUAGUCCCCUAGUCGUGCGGGAGCCUCGGGCACCAUCGGCAACCUAGGCGAUUGGUCGCGCGAGAGCCACGGGACCAUCGGUACCUAGGCCCUUGGUCGUGCGGGAGCUUCAGGCACCACCGGCACCUUGGUGCUCGGAUGUGGGGGAGCCUCAGGCACCAUCAGCAACCCACGCCCUUAGUCAUGCGGGAGCCUCGGGUACCAUCGGUAACCUAGGCCCCUGGUUGUGCGAGAGCCUCGGGCACCAUCGACACCUUGGUGCCUCGGAUGUGCGGGAGCCUCUAGCAGCAUUG